rnacentral:rRNA from 1 species
UACGUAGGUGGCAAGCGUUGUCCGGAAUCACUGGGCGUAAAGCGCGCGCAGGCGGCGAUCUACGUCUGGGGUGAAAGCCCGGAGCUCAACUCCGGGACUGCCUUGGAUACGGGAUCGCUUGAGGAUUGGAGAGGCAAGGGGAAUUCCACGUGUAGCGGUGAAAUGCGUAGAUAUCGAUCGGAACACCCAUGGCGAAGGCAGCUCGCUGGCCUGCAACUGACGCUGAGGCGCGAAAGCGUGGGGAGCAAACAGG